GCUCUUAUUACUGUUAAAUUAAAAUAACCUGUACCCUAAACUGACACAAGUAGGUAGGUAGAGAAUACUAAGGGGCGCGAGAUAACUCUCUCUAAGGAACUCGGCAAAAUGGCCCCGUAACUUCGGGAGAAGGGGUGGUGUUAUUUUCUAAAUAACUCCCGCAGUGACCAGGCCCAGGCGACUGUUUAUCAAAAACACAGGUCUCCGCAAAGUCGUAAGACAAUGUAUGGGGGCUGACGUCUGCCCAGUGCCGGAAGGUAAAAGAAGUUGGUUAUUCUUUAGAAAAAGCUGACGACUGAAGCCCCGGUGAACGGCGGCUGUAACUCUGACAGUCCUAAGGUAGCGAAAUUCCUUGUCGAGUAAGUUUCGACCCGCACGAAAGACGUAACGAUCUGGGCACUGUCUCGGAGAGAGACUCGGUGAAAUAGAAAUGUCUGUGAAGAUGCGGACUACUUAUACCAGGACAGAAAGACCCUAUGAAGCUUGACUGUAAUUUGGAAUUGAGUUCGGGCUUUUUUUUGCGCAGUCUAGGUGGGAGGCAUUGAUGUAAAAUUUUUGGAUUUUAUGGAGCCAAAAUUGAGAGACCACCCUAAAAAGGCUAGAAUUCUAAUAGGACUCCUUGAAUCAGGAUCCUUGACAGUUUCAGAUGGACAGUUUGACUGGGGCGGUGAUCUCCUAAAAGGUAACGGAGAUGUGCAAAGGUUCUCUCAGGCUGGACGGAAAUCAGCUAUAGAGUGUAAAGGUAGAAGAGAGCUUGACUGCAAGACCAACAAGUCGAGCAGGGGCGAAAGCCGGCCUUAGUGAUCCGACGGUUCCGAGUGGAAGGGCCGUCGCUCAACGGAUAAAAGUUACUCUAGGGAUAACAGGCUGAUCUCCCCCAAGAGUUCACAUCGACGGGGAGGUUUGGCACCUCGAUGUCGGCUCAUCGCAACCUGGGGCUGGAGUCGGUCCCAAGGGUUGGGCUGUUCGCCCAUGAAAGCGGUACGUGAGCUGGGUUCAGAACGUCGUGAGACAGUUCGGUCCAUAUCCGGUAUAAGCGUAAGAGCAUUGAGAGGAUCUCAACAUUGUACGAGAGGACCCGAAGGGACGUACCUAUGGUGUACCAGUUCUUAUGCCAAUAGGAAACGCUGGGUAGCUAUGUACGGAGUGGAUAAUCGCUGAAAGCAUUUAAGUGAGAAGCCCACCUCAAGAUGAGUGCUCUCUAUUAGAUCACGGCAAGACAAGCCGGUACAUUGGUAUCAAGUGUAAGAUUAGUAAUAAUUUGAGCUGAGAUAUACAAACGAUC
rnacentral:rRNA from 1 species